AAUAUAGUUGGAAAUUAUGAAGGAUUUUCAUUAUUGGGCACUAUGAAAAUCUGGAGUUAGUAGUGCAACCGACCAACAACCAG
rnacentral:ncRNA from 1 species